rnacentral:sRNA from 1 species
CCCUCAGAGCAGAGCGGAGCACGCCCUUUUUACACAGAGUGCUUCUGUGAACAGCCUCCUUGAGCAAGAGGUUACCUCUCACUCCCUAAACCACCGCCACCUUGGUCCCACCCCGCCAUGGCAGCACUGUUCCCAAGCUGCUGGAACUGUGAAAAUGGAGUCCCCUGGAGAUUCUCCCUUAUCUGUGAUGCCUUGUCUGUCAGGCAGCCUGUCUGCUGGGACCCACAGUUAAUGAACCUCCUUCUUUGACCACUGACAGAGGAACCCCGACAUCAUCUAACAGUCUCUGAGAUGUCCAGGUCUAAGAUGACUCAAAGGCUUGGUUCCCGCCACCCAUACUGGGCAGCUCAGGACUCGAGGAACAGCAGUUCCAGCGGCGUCUGGCAUCUCCUUCACUGCCAUCGACACUCAUGUGCACACACACUCCUACAGAAACACACGAGGCAUACGAUAAACAAAGUAAACCUUUAAAACCCCACAUUAAGUUCUACUGGUUUCUCUAUGUAGUCCUGGCUGUCCUGGAACUCCCUCUGUAAACCAGGCUGGCCUUGAACUCAGAGAUCCUUGAGUGCUUGGAGCAAGGCAUGUGCCACGGUACUCCACUGCCAGGCUUGCUGGCUUGUUUCCAGACAGAGUCUCUCUAUGUAGCUCUGGUUGGCCUUGAACUCCAAACUGGUCUCCAACUCCCUCCACCUGCCUUCGCUUCCCAAACGCCUGGACCAAUGGCAUAUGCUACUAUGCCCAGCCCAUAGGUUAUCUUCAAGAGCUCUUUGUUAUUUUCCUUU